rnacentral:piRNA from 1 species
UAUGACCACGCCAAUUCUCUUGGAGGCAUCU